ACGGAGGGUGCGAGCGUUAUUCGGAAUUACUGGGCGUAAAGCGCGUGCAGGCGGGUAGGUAAGUCUGUUGUGAAAGCCCCUGGCUCAACCUGGGGAGUGCAAUUGAAACUGCAUAUCUUGAGUGCUGGAGAGGAAGGGGGAAUUCCCGGUGUAGAGGUGAAAUGCGUAGAGAUCGGGAGGAAUACCAGUGGCGAAGGCAGCCUUCUAGACGGCAACUGACGCUGAGGCGCGAAAGCGUGGGGAUCAAACAG
rnacentral:rRNA from 1 species